CGGACGGGUGAGUAACACGUGGGUAACCUACCUAUAAGACUGGGAUAACUUCGGGAAACCGGAGCUAAUACCGGAUAACAUUUAGAACCGCAUGGUUCUAAAGUGAAAGAUGGUUUUGCUAUCACUUAUAGAUGGACCCGCGCCGUAUUAGCUAGUUGGUAAGGUAACGGCUUACCAAGGCGACGAUACGUAGCCGACCUGAGAGGGUGAUCGGCCACACUGGAACUGAGACACGGUCCAGACUCCUACGGGAGGCAGCAGUAGGGAAUCUUCCGCAAUGGGCGAAAGCCUGACGGAGCAACGCCGCGUGAGUGAUGAAGGGUUUCGGCUCGUAAAACUCUGUUAUUAGGGAAGAACAAAUGUGUAAGUAACUGUGCACAUCUUGACGGUACCUAAUCAGAAAGCCACGGCUAACUACGUGCCAGCAGCCGCGGUAAUACGUAGGUGGCAAGCGUUAUCCGGAAUUAUUGGGCGUAAAGCGCGCGUAGGCGGUUUCUUAAGUCUGAUGUGAAAGCCCACGGCUCAACCGUGGAGGGUCAUUGGAAACUGGGAAACUUGAGUGCAGAAGAGGAAAGUGGAAUUCCAUGUGUAGCGGUGAAAUGCGCAGAGAUAUGGAGGAACACCAGUGGCGAAGGCGACUUUCUGGUCUGUAACUGACGCUGAUGUGCGAAAGCGUGGGGAUCAAACAGGAUUAGAUACCCUGGUAGUCCACGCCGUAAACGAUGAGUGCUAAGUGUUAGGGGGUUUCC
rnacentral:rRNA from 1 species